rnacentral:rRNA from 1 species
UACGUAGGGUGCAAGCGUUAUCCGGAAUUAUUGGGCGUAAGAGCUCGUAGGCGGUUUGUCGCGUCUGCUGUGAAAACUGGAGGCUCAACCUCCAGCCUGCAGUGGGUACGGGCAGACUAGAGUGCGGUAGGGGAGAUUGGAAUUCCUGGUGUAGCGGUGGAAUGCGCAGAUAUCAGGAGGAACACCGAUGGCGAAGGCAGAUCUCUGGGCCGUAACUGACGCUGAGGAGCGAAAGCAUGGGGAGCGAACAGG